rnacentral:rRNA from 1 species
UUUGUGAACAUACCUAUAACUGUUGCUUCGGCGGGUAGGGUCUCCGUGACCCUCCCGGCCUCCCGCCCCCGGGCGGGUCGGCGCCCGCCGGAGGAUAACCAAACUCUGAUUUAACGACGUUUCUUCUGAGUGGUACAAGCAAAUAAUCAAAACUUUUAACAACGGAUCUCUUGGUUCUGGCAUCGAUGAAGAACGCAGCGAAAUGCGAUAAGUAAUGUGAAUUGCAGAAUUCAGUGAAUCAUCGAAUCUUUGAACGCACAUUGCGCCCGCCAGCAUUCUGGCGGGCAUGCCUGUUCGAGCGUCAUUUCAACCCUCAAGCUCUGCUUGGUGUUGGGGCCCUACAGCUGAUGUAGGCCCUCAAAGGUAGUGGCGGACCCUCCCGGAGCCUCCUUUGCGUAGUAACUUUACGUCUCGCACUGGGAUCCGGAGGGACUCUUGCCGUAAAACCCCCCAAUUUUCCAAAGGUUGACCUCGGAUCA